rnacentral:lncRNA from 1 species
ACACACACCGCAUACACACACAUAUGCACACAAAUGCACACACACCACAUACACACGCACACACACACCACAUACACACACACCACAUACACACAUGCACACACACACAUGCACACACACAUACCACAUACACACUGUGGCAGGCCCAGGGAUGGGCAUGUGGUCUCGCCCCGCCAAGGAGACACAGUUACACCUGAAGGGGAUGUCCUUCUUUUCUUCCUGCUGUGGGAUAUGGAGCAGUGUCUUGGACCAGGAAGUGGGAAUGGAAUGUCUUGGGCGUGGAGCCCACCCUUCCAGAACAGAUAGGACAGACUGGGGGGUCUGAAGGCACCGUGGGUCCUCAGCUAGCCCUCCCC